rnacentral:rRNA from 1 species
UGGGGAAUCUUGCACAAUGGGGGAAACCCUGAUGCAGCGACGCCGCGUGAACGAUGAAGCCCUUCGGGGUGUAAAGUUCUUUCGACGGGGACGAUAAUGACGGUACCCGGAGAAGAAGCUGCGGCUAACUACGUGCCAGCAGCCGCGGUAAUACGUAGGCAGCAAGCGUUGUUCGGAAUUACUGGGCGUAAAGAGUGCGUAGGUGGUUGGCCAAGUUUGGUGUGAAAUCUCCCGGCUUAACUGGGAGGGUGCGCCGAAAACUGGUUGACUAGAGUGUGGGAGAGGGACGUGGAAUUCCUGGUGUAGCGGUGAAAUGCGUAGAUAUCAGGAGGAACGCCUGCGGUGUAGACGGCGUCCUGGACCAUGACUGACACUGAGGCACGAAAGCGUGGGGAGCAAACA